AUUGAACGCUGGCGGCAGGCCUAACACAUGCAAGUCGAGCGGAAGGGGCUUCGGCCCUGAGAGCGGCGGACGGGUGAGGAGAGCGUGGGAAUCUGCCUGUAGAUGGGGGAUAGCCCGGAGAAAUCCGGAUUAAUACCGCAUAAUACCUGAGGGUUAAAGUGGAGGAUCGCAAGACUUCACGUCUACGGAUGAGCCCACGUCAGAUUAGCUAGUUGGUAGGGUAAAGGCCUACCAAGGCGACGAUCUGUAGCUGGCCUGAGAGGGUGGCCAGCCACACUGGAACUGAGACACGGUCCAGACCCCUACGGGAGGCAGCAGUGGGGAAUAUUGGACAAUGGGCGCAAGCCUGAUCCAGCCAUGCCGCGUGUGUGAAGAAGGCCUUCGGGUUGUAAAGCACUUUAAGUUGGGAGGAAGGUUCCUUGGCUAAUAUCCAAGGGAAUUGACGUUACCGACAGAAUAAGCACCGGCUAAUUCCGUGCCAGCAGCCGCGGUAA
rnacentral:rRNA from 1 species